rnacentral:lncRNA from 1 species
CCUCACUCGUUCUCUUCUUCCCCACCCGCACCCGAGCUCCUGUCGCCAUGGACGACCUUGUCGUCGCGGCCAUCAUGCUCCCCGUCGCGUGAGAGGACGUCUAGGAGGUCCGCCGCGAUCGGAUCCGUCCGUUCUGGGAACCUGCUCAAGCCGGGACGGCCCGUACACUCGCCAUCGCCGCCAUCUUCGCCCACGGCCGCCACGUCUCGCCGUCACGUUCGUCGCAUCCCGGCCGCCCCGUGCCUUUGGGCCAUGUCCACGAGCCUCCUGGUGAGCUCCUCUGCCGAUUCCCCUGGUUCCCGUGCUCGAUUCGUCGCCGUAGUUGCCAUCCCGAACUCGUCCGAAUGUACGCGUACGCAUAUGUACGUGCUUGUGUGUGUGUGUGCGUGUGGCCUUGCCGUUGCCUACUGCUGGAGCCGCCCGCACGCUGCCCCCUGGCCGCGCCCAGGCGCUCGCUCGCUGUCCCCGUGUUGGCCGCUGUCGCUGCUUGGCACGCGCCUCUACUAGCUGAUGUCGUUCGCUGUUGCUUGCUCUGCUUGCUGUUGCCCGGUGCGCUCCCGCGUUUGUCCCUGUGCUGUGUUGCUGCUGUGCCUAGGCCACCCCGCUGUGUCGCCACGCGUGCGUGCGCGUCGUCCUUGCUCUGUUGCUCUUUCUAAGCUAUUGUCCACUGCAGCUACUUCUUGUCGCUGUUGCAGCCCCGCCGCUACCUCCUGCUCUGCUGCACGCCCUUGGCCACUCCGGCCUCGCUCGCCGCUGCUGCUUUUAUGCCUACAUGUUUGCCGCUAUACACUGAUGUUAGCUACCGCUGCCCAGUCCACUGCACUACUGUUUUGCAAGUAGUUGCUGCUAGAGAUGGCCAUGGCAAAGGCCACGGGCGUACGUGCCUGUGAGUGUGGAGCGUGAGCGUGUGUGUGCUUUUGAGUGAGAGCGUGAGCGUGUGAGCCGUGUGUGUAGCUUAGUGGGUUAGUAGUAAUUAAUAAUUAGUUAACUAGUUAGUUUAACUAAUAGCCUAUGUCAAGUGGAGCCUCGGCUAAGUUAAUUUAAUUAAGUAGCAUAGAUUAGUUGCUGCCUAUGACAUGUGGGCCACACCCAUGCCAUUUGACUAGUAAGUUGACUUGGUCAAACUCGUUUUAAACGAUUUUAGAAAAUCAAAUAAGCUUCAGAAAAUCAUAUCUAAUUCAUACAAACUCGAACGAAAAUAAUUUAUAUAUAAAAGAUGAUCAGAAAAAUAUAACAAAUCUGAAUAUGCCAUCCAUAUACCUUCCACACCUCUCUAACAUGAUGCACAUGAACAUUUUGCAUCAGGAUCGUCUGUCCGAAAAUUACCUGGGGCCGGGGAAAUAUUGCGGGAUAUUUUGCCUCUUCUUUUAAAAUGCUUAAGGAUGCAUUAGAGCAUGUCACCCACACAUCUCGUCAUGCCAUUGCAUUUGUGUUGCAUUUAAUUGUUGUGUUAUUUAUUGUGUUUCCCCUCCAUUACUUUCUUUCCGGUAGACCCCGAGACCGAUGAUGAUCCGGUGAUCGACUACUUCCCGGUCGAGGAUCCGUAUUUGUCUACAGAGCAGCAAGGCAAGCAAACCCCCCUUGAUCAUUCCUAUAUUUCCUAUGUCUUUCUUCCUACUGCUUGCAUUAGUAUUUUGCUACUCUUCUAGUUAGCUCCUAUAUCUGAUGCAUAUAUAGCCUAUUUUUGAUGAACUGCUACUUUCAGUCAUGUACCUUUAAUAUGCUUAGUAUAGGUGGAGCAGUCAUCCCAUCUGACCCCGUAGUCCAGUUGCCCCGCUUGUUUUCAAAUCUCGAUCCCUGAUCGACGAGACAGACCCGACACCUCACACACAAGCCCCUUAGUUGUACGACGCUAUAGGGAUACUAUCGGGUACCGAGGGUGACAUCUCGCUAAGUACUCCUGAUGAUAUCUCUGUAGUAUAACUAGUCGGUCGUGGUUGUCGAGGGUGAUUCCUCUUUCACCAUUCUCGACGAUGCCUCUGUCGUACAACCCAUCAAUUGUGGGACCCCCGAGGGUGAUUCCUCUAAGCCCACCUUGACGGAUACAUCGUUCGAAAUCCAGCGAGGGUGAUACCUUGGAUUCCCCCCGAUAUUACAACCACACAGUUACUCGACCAUGUUACUGGGAUCAUUGGUGAUUAGUUGUUAAGACGGGUGGAUUCCCGCGAGACUGUGUUGGUGGCCUAAUUAAAAUGUUAAUGGAUUUGGGUAUUUGAUCUGGGUUGGUUGGAGACCUUUUCGCACUAACCGGCUACGCGGGAAGAAUUAUGGGUACUCGGCGUCGCGGUAUCAACCGAAGGUUUUUAGAUGUCAGCAAUGUAGCGGCGCUCGCCCGAGUGGUCCCGAGAUGCAUCGCGCUUGUGAUUAAGGGAUGCUAGGACUGACGUUGGCCGCCCACGCCAUGUGCAGGAGCGCGAAGGGGAACUGGGCCCACGAACCCUUUGUGCUUAGGAGUUAGAUCGGCGGGCUGGCCUCUCUGAUUAGUCUUAAGUGGGGCUGCGACGUGUCGAUAUUCUGAGGCCGGGCAGGACCCAGAAAAGUGUGUCUGGCCAGAGUGUUAUCGAGCGUUACGGUACAUGUGGUGCACCCCUGCAGGGAUGAAAAUUAACUAUCCGAAUAGCCGUGUCCACGGUUACAGGACGACUUGGAGUUGUGCCCUGAUCUUAUACAACUACAAUUGUUACUUAACUGGAAUUAGUUUGCCUCGGGAUUGCUUCCUCGCAGGGAGUCGAGGGAGGAUCUUUGGGCGUGACCUCACUUUAAUAUUGCUGCAACAAUAUGACUAUUAAUGUUUUACACCUGGUCUAUUCUCGUCUUUUGCUGCAAGACCCUGAAGAUGCUAGUCUUCGAUAGGACUAGGCCUUCUCUCUAUUCUUGCAUUACUGCAGUCAGUCCACAUAUAAAACCCCUUCUUUGAUACUGGUGCAUAUUUAGCAUAGUUCUGAUGUAAGUCUUGCGAGUACUUUGGAUGAGUACUCACCGUUGCUUUGCUCCCCCUUUGUCCCCUUGAUCCGUUGCUGCGACCAGAUGAUGGAGCCCAGGAGAUGGAGUUUCCUGCGGACGCCGGUCGCCCUGUUGGUGUCUUCUUUGUGGAGGUUGAUGAAGAUAGGAGUAGUUAGGAGGUUCCCAGGAAGGAGGCCUCGCCUCGUUCGAUCGUCUUUCUUUUGUGCUAGCCUUCUCUAAGGUACCCCAUGCUUUAUGUUUGUACUCAGAUUAUGUUGCUUCCGCUGGCUCGUGCGCUUAUCGAGCUUCUGUAUUCUAGCACUCGAGGCCCUUGGCUUGUAAUAUGAAGCUUGUAUUAUUUUAUUUGUGUCUAGAGUUGUGUUGUGAUAUCUUCCCGUGAGUCCUUGGGUUUGAUCGUACGCAUUUGCGUGUAUGAUUAGCGUACGAUUAAACCGAGGGCGUCACAAGUUGGUAUCAGAGCCGACUGCAUGUAGGUAGCACCCUUUCCAACUCCUUGGCCAAAGUUGAGUCUAGUGUUUGAAAAACUUUACUAACACUGAUGUUGUGGCUUACGGGCCCACAUCUCAAUUGAGUGGUAUUAGCAUCUUUUACUCCUUUCCUAUACUCUGGGUUCUACUCUCUCUUCUCUUUCGGGAUAAAGAUUUUGCUAACUCUAACAUUAUGUUCUCGUAAAUACUGCCUCCCAGAGAGCCCUGUAUUCCAGACGAUGGCUUUAUCCCUCAGAAGAACUGCAGUUACUCUUCGAUGUCCUCUUGAGCUGUUGUGCUCAUUGCUUCUGCAAUUUUUCCCCGUUCAUACUUUCUUCUCCAAUUGCUCUUGUUUUACGAGAUGAAACGAAUUAUUUUAUAGGGUAUUCGCCCAUCAUCAGUUGUCAUGGGUUUCGAAAGUUCUUCGACUUACUAUUCAGUCUUCCUAAAUCCUCUGUAGCGUAAAGUUCAUGACCUUUCUCACCUACUUGCAUUAUGGUUAAAUCCAUAUGUCUAGGAGCAUUCAUUAAAAUCCUAUGUGAUUUUCCUGUGAUCUUAUUGAUUCUAACUUUGUGUGAAUGCACACAAUCAUCUGUGGUGACUCAUAAAUUAUCUGCCGGCUCAGACGUCCUUCCAGACCGAGCAGGUCCUCGACAAAUCAAUUUUUGGUUGGUUGUCCAUCUAAGUCCAUUCAACCUACUUGUAUUUGAUCGGAGCAUCUGAUUAUGAUACACGAAUCUGGAAAUCUUAUUUCCUUUGGUAACUAAGUAUUGAUAUGUUUCAGAUGUUCUAUAACCCGAUGCAUUGCGUCCUAUCUCCCUCUCAUUGAGUACCGAUACUCACAUUAGAUCAUUUGUGGAUUGCCAGACUCAUUCCGAGUUAUUAUCCGACGGCAUCCUUUGUUUUAGAAAAUUCUUGUGAUUGCUUCCCCUGACACAUGAUGCCAUUGGUAAAUUGUGUCUUCUCCCAUUGAUAAGUUGUACCAUACGAUUUGUCAGUCAUGCCCUUCAAGCAUGUAAUUUAAUUACUCUUGAAGUUUGUGGUAUAUGUUCCUAAGAUGCCCCGAUGGGUUGAACCUAUGCCUUCCUAAAUCAAUAUGACCCGAAGAUUUUUCUCGAGUCUUACUCUUUUGGUGUUAUGCCGGUUAUUCUUUCAAAGCUACAACCGAUCAAAGGCGAGGAAUAAAUGGCAGGUGAUGCAUUGAUGAAGUGGGAGUCGACCUUGAACUUUGAGCUCAUGCCCAUGGAAACCACGUUGAUCCUAUCAUAGAAACUUCUCGUAUCAAUAUUCAUUCAUUCUGCGGUUUAAAUCUGGUAUAUGUGAUCUUGUCCUUUGCAAUCAUGGUUCCGACCAUGUUUUCCUACCUUGAUUUCAUUCUCAGACGAGUUAAAGUACUUGUCUUCUUCAGAUAAACACAUCAGUCCAAACCAUAAAGUUGAUCUACCUCCGAGUAUUAUUCCUUGUAUCUCGAGGAUAACGCGGAGCUAUGAAACUUCUUGUGAGCUCCUUAUCAACUAUGAUUUUUUCCUUAAUUCAAGUUGCCCCGCGUUUGAGUUGUUGGACACGUGGGUACAUCGAUAACUGAAUCGUGUAUGCAUUGCGAUUCAACAACUUUUAGCAAUCUUCCUUGUUUACGAGUUUGUACUCGAUCAUGUCAUUCCAAGCUGUUAAGCUACAUCAUCAUCGUCAUGUUGGAGCUCCACCAUGCUAUCUAUACCCUUGUCCCUGUAGCACAAUUCCAACUGUGCAUUAAGCUUGCAUCGAGCUUUCCACAUCAUGUUGGUGGUCCUGAAAGGCAAUCUCAAUUCUAAGCUAGCAGUCUUAACGGUUUUUCCGGCAACCUGUGGCUUCACCAUUCCCUUGCUUGAUGUCGAUGCUGAAUGAAUACAUCUUCGUGAAGCUUCUCGACAAAUGUGUCGUGAUCACCAUCAGCAUUCUGAGCUCUUGUUGGGUAUCGACCGAAUGCAUGAUGAGAAAUACCAUCCUUGCCCCUUGAUGAUAUGUGAUAUCGUCGACAACCUUCUUGCCUUCCCUCCUACACAAACGUGUUCAUGUUUUGUGUUGUCCUUCGAGUUCCUUGCUAAUUCAGCUUAUGUCACCUUCUACCUUGGAGUAUUACUAUCUUUUCUGUCAAGAAUGUUGUGAGCAUCAUUGCACCUCUUAAGAAUCCUUGACAUAGUAAUACUUCUCGCCAUCACCAUUCAUUUCUUGGUCCCGUGUUGUUUCUAACUGGUAUACCGACAAGUGAACUCUGAUGUGUGAUUCCAAUACUUCUGGCAACCCUAUUGCCUUGAGGUUAACAACUGAUUGUUUCAAUUUUAGUGUGUUGGGUGAUGACUCAUCAUUUUUGACAUUGGUUGUGCUACUCCGUCCGUAUUCCCUGGUGCAUCCUUUGACCAAUGUUUAAUUGUUGUUGAUCCCUCGAACAUGCGACAUUAUACCAUUUGACUUGACAAAUGCUAUCUCCUUGACAUUAUAAUUUUGGAAAUUCGUCCAUGUCAAAAUCUUGAGGGAUUGUUGCUGAGCCCAUCAGCCCCACCCUCAACUUAUCCAUGUUCCACGAUGAAGCACUUGCAAGCAUUAUUCUUGUGCCUAGCUCAUGGAGAAUAUGUUGGAUAGAAGGAGUGCGUUUUUCCAAGGUUCACGUGCACUCUUUCCGCCGUGAAUAUGUGAAAGUUUUGUUUCGCUUCCCCUCGGGAAAUACCAAAUCAUUCACCCAUGUGUGAAGUGUUAUAUGUUUUGAAGAUUUGUUAUCUUCACUUCAUAUAACUUCUCUUAGCACGCCAAUCCACUGACUGAUUUGAUCAAGGGAAAAAAAGUUCUGUCAUAAGAGCUAAUCGAGGCUUACGCAAGGGCCUUGAUAUCCUCGAUGAUGGUUCUCAAAUCAGAACUCAGUUGCAUUGUGAUGUAAAAAUUCCACGUGGGCACGAAUGUAUUGACAUUGUGUUCAUGUGUCUUACAAUCUAACUCAUGAUCCAAAACUUGCUUCCGUGGAUCAUAUCUCGCUGAUAUUGCAGUAUCAUCUCGUAUGUUUUUGGUGGCCCCAUUUUCUUCUCAGGCACCCUGAGACUGAGGUGUCCCUACACCUAUCAGAUAUGAAUCUCGGGCAGAUAAGAUGGUUGGAACAUUUUCCCAAUAAUUAUAACUUUGGUGUUUAUGUAACCGGUACAGUGAUAUCUUGUCUGGAACACAGGGCCGAAGGGCCUAUUGUUAUAAAUUCUGCCAUACUUAAGGUUAGACAUUGUACCAUGCAGAAACUAAAUGGCUUAUCUUAUAAGUUGUUUUUGAUGAAUCCUUUGUGUAACCAAGUCCAACCUUUAUCUGGUGACCAUGUCCAUGCUACCCCGAAGCAUGGAUGUGGUACUUCAAAUUUCAACAGGAACAUUGGAAGCGCAAUGCUAAAUUGUUCUUCCUCAAUUAUCCAGACCACGUGGUAUCUGUAAACAUCUUGAUUCUUCUUGCCUCUUUGUCAAAAUGGUUAUGUACUUAAUGACCUAUCAUGUAUACCAUACUCUAUGUUUUCCUCGGGAAUGGUAUACUUUAAUACUUGUGUGUGUGAACACAUUUUCCUUACCAUUGGUCUGUUUGACCUUUCUUGUGGCAUAACUUAUCUAAGCAGUGUUAAUUCCCUGCUUAGGUAAAAUUCUCGGUAUACAACUCUCCCAGUAAGACCCUGUUACUAUUGUGGUAGUCGCCGGUGGACGAGGACCUUGCCUAUUGGUCCGCCUCGUUUCAACGAGCAGGAAAAUGGUUCUAUUCGUCCCCCGCCCUUGGUACCGAGGUUGUUGCCUACAUAACUAGAAGGUUAUCAUCUGGCAUGUCUUGCUACCAAGACCGUAUAAGAUGUCGCCGCUCUACCUACUGUUGGCCCACAUGAUUGACCCAUAACCCAAAGUUCCACAGGAUUGAAACCUGACUCUCUUGUACAUCUUUGACUCCAAAGUAUCCUUUACACUUGACUUCAGGUGAAAUUCCGAGCCACCGUCCAAUGCGAUGAUCUAUUCUUGUAUCGGGCAUAAUACUUAUUUUUUGUUGUUACUCUAAAUCCUCCUUUCAUCUUUGUUUAGGCUUCAAAUGAUUGCCUGAUCGUUUGAAACCUUUGUACCAUCGCUUGUUACUCUCAAUGAAUUCCGUGAGUCACAACUUGACAAAUAAUUCAUGUACUCUUUCAUGAGUUUACUGUUAGAUGCCCUACUUUUUGUAGCUACGUUCUUUGACAAUUUCCACUAUGAUCGCAAUUCGUAGGACGGGGAUGAUCUUGAAGAAAGGAUGACGACUCCAUCAAGUUGACCUGAAACAAAGUAAUGAAUAUGUCAACAAGAAGGAGAAAUCUCUUCGAAGAGAGCAGUGAAGACAAGAAGACUCGUUAGAAUUUCGUAACCAAACGUUUCCCCCUUAUGCCUACCUUUGAAUUCUCGGGACGAGAAUUUCUUUUAGUGGGGAAGAGUUGUGACAUCCCCGGAUUAUGCUGUUGAAUCUUUGUAAUUAAGCUACAGUAACCUCACUCUAAUGUGCCAUGCCAUCAUGCUUUAUUAAGCCAUUUUGCCACUUAAUAAAAUCAAAACCAAAAAAAUCAAAUUAAAAUCAAGUCAAGUAAAUUAUUUCUUCAAACUCAAAAUAAAAAUGUUGGCCCAAUUGCAAAUAUUCACCUAGAAAUUAUCGAAUAAGAACAAAACUCAUUUGAAACUUCAGAGAUGCCCUUAUCUAUUUUUGAACUGGAUCAACAUCACUCAAGUGAACCAUUUAAAAUUCAAGCCCCAUUUAAAUUAUUUCCUAAUGGCCUCAAACUUUGUGUGCCUUUCCAAAAUAUUCCAUAGUAUUUAUGUGUGGAGUUUCAUGUGCAAUAAAAAUCAUUUACUAGCUUUAAUACAUACAAACCGGAAAAAAAUAGAAUGGAAAAAUGAAACGAAGAAACAAAGUAUAGCACUAUGCAUUUCAGGCCUCCUGCUACAGUAGAAGGCCCAGCCCUCCAUGGGCCUUCUCCUACCUCUCUGUACGGAGGAGAAGCACAGCCAUGACCUGGGCACGGCCACGUCCGUCCACGCGCCCGCUGUCGUCGUGUCAACCAUCUAGCGAGCCCCCGCGACGUAUAAGGUUCUUCCCGACGCGUGAGACAAACCCUAGCUGCCAUAUCCCCUCUCCCUCACUCGUUCUCUUCUUCCCCACCCACACCCGAGCUCCUAUCGCCAUGGACGACCUUGUCGUCGCGGCCAUCAUUAUCCCCGUCGCGUGAGAGGAUGUAUAGGAGGUCCGCGCGAUCGGAUCCGUCUGUUCCGGGGACCUGCUCAAGCCAGGACGGUCCGUACGCUCGCCAUCGCCGCCAUCAUCGCCCACGGCCGCCACGUCUCGCCGUCAAGUUCGUCACAUCCCGGCCACCCCGUGCCUUUGGGCCAUGUCCACGAGCCUCCUGGUGAGCUCCUCUGUCGAUUCCUCUUGUUCCCGUGCUCGAUUCGUUGUCGUAGUUGCCAUCCCGAACUCGUCUGAAUGUACGCGUACGCGUAUGUACGUGCUUGUGUGUGUGUCUGCGUGUGGCCUUGCCGUUGCCUGCCGCUGUAGCCACCCGCACGCUGCUCCCUGGCCGCGCCCAGGUGCUCGCUCGCUGUCCCCGUGCUGGCCGCUGUCGCUGCUUGGCACGCGCCUCUACUAGCUGAUGUUGUUCGCUGUUGCUUGCUCUGCUUGCUUGUAGAAGUUAAUCAUGUUGUUUCUUUAGGAUUAGGAAAGAAAGCCAAACUGAGUCCUAGUAGUAUUAGGAUUACUAGUCCUAGUCUAUUUCACUAGUCCCUUCUGGACGUGUAUAAAAGACACCCUAGGGGUGUUGGUUGUAAAACCAGAAAAACGAAAAGCAAUACAAAGCAAAGGCUCGACACGGGCCUUUAGCCAUCAAAUCCAUCGGUCAGUUUUAUUCCUGUCGCUAGUUACGCAAGUUCCGUCAAGUAGCCAGCCGAAGCAAGAAUCACGUAGGCACGCCUGUACAGCUGCAUACGCACGGUCAAAAGCCAAUAAUUGGUAUCUAGAGCCUCGACGAUCUACGAUCUACGAUGACGGACAGCGACGCUGAGUCGGUCAAGUCCGGCAGCGGCGGUGCCAAGGCGAACAAGAACGGCGACAAGGUGAAGAAGGACGUCAAGUCAGCAACCAGAGGUGGAGGAACGAGCGGCGCCAACGUCCACGCGCAUCGCAACAUCCCCAUCCAGUACCCGAUGCUCACCGACGCCAACUACGGCGUGUGGGCGGUGAAGAUGAAGAUUAUUCUUUGAUCCCUUCGAGUGUGGGAGGCCAUCACGGACGACGACGUCGACGAGGAGCGCGACGAAGGUGCCAUGGCCGCCAUAGCCUAGUCUGUGCCGGAUUCCGUGCUGGUGACAUUGGUGGAGUUCGAGACAGCAAGAGAGGUGUGGAACGCACUCAAGGAGAUGAGGAUCGGAGAAGAUCGCGUCACCAAGGCUCGGGCACAAGUGCUGAAGCGCCAAUUUCACAAGUUGCAGAUGGAGGAAACUAAAUCGGUGAAUGACUACGCCAUGCGUCUUACUACUUUGGUGGGAGAGAUUCACGCGCUUGGUGCAAAGCUCGAUGAGACCGAGAUCGUGGAGAAGUUUUUUAGUUCAGUCACUGAUAAAUUCACGUACAUCAUCGGCAUGCUCGAGCAGCUUUACGACAUCGACGACAUGACCAUAACGGAGGCGAUCGGACGAUUGCGGACAUGGGAAGAGAAUGCUCGUGGCUGUCGUAAAGGCAAAGGAAGAGGUAGUGACCAACUCAUGUACUCGCGCGCAGAUUGGGAGGCCCCAAGUAGCAAAGGAAGGCGUGACGAUGGCGAAGGCUCAAGCAACACGAAGGGCGAUGGACAAACCGGAAAAGGCAAAGGAAAAGGCAAACCACAAGGUCGUGGUAAGGCGGGCCAAUCUAAAGAGCAGAAACCACGGAACUUGGACUUGUCCGAGGUCAAGUGCUAUAACUGCAAUAGGAUGGGUCACUUUGCGAAGGAUUGUCCAAAGCCUAACAAGCGGGAGAUCAUGGCAAAUUUGGCAAAGCAGGAAGACAAAGGUCCAGGUCUUCUGAUGGCCGAAGUUUGUGAUCUCGCUGAAACGAUGGUUGUGAAACCAAGCCGGAAGGUGCUACUUCAUGAGGAAAAAGUGACACUAAAGUUAUCCGGUGAUCAGAACGUGUCGUGGUAUCUCGACACGGGUGCCAGUAACCACAUGAUGGGGUGCAAGGAGAAAUUUCUCGAGCUAGAAUACGAUGUUGAAGGCUCGGUCAAGUUCGGUGAUGGUUCAGCUGUGGAGAUUUGCGGGCAAGGUUAUGUCCUCUUCGAGGGUCUCACAGGCGAACAUCGCAUACUCACCGGAGUGUACUACAUCCCACGGCUGCGCAACAACAUCAUGUCUAUUGGGAAGCUUGACGAGAAUGGAUGCAAGGUGAAUAUAGAGAGCGGAGUGAUGACGAUCUUCAACAACCUCCGAAACAUGCUAGCUCAUGUUAAUCGCACACGGAAUAGGCUCUAUAUCCUCAACCUCGAUCAAUCUCAACCGGAGUGUUGGCUUGCCAAGAGUGAUGAUGAUUCCUGGUUAUGGCAUGCUAGAUUUGGACACGUUAACUUCUACGCCUUGAAGAAAAUGUCAAAGAUGGAGAUGGUAUCCGGGAUGCCAGUUAUCGACAAUGUUGAUCGAGUAUGCGACGGGUGCUUGGUUGGAAAACAGCACCGCGGGCCAUUCCCUGCUCACUCUACCUAUCGUGCAAGUGAUGCACUCGAGCUGCUCCAUGGUGAUCUAUGUGGCCCUAUCACCCCGGUAACUCAUGCUGGAAAGAAGUAUUUCUUCAUUGUGGUAGACGACUACUCGAGAUAUAUGUGGGUCAUUCUCCUACGAUCUAAAGAUGAGGCAUUUGAAGCGUUCAAGAAGUUGAAGGCUGCAACAGAGAUGGAACACAAGCUGAAGGUUCGCGCUCUACGGACAGAUCGCGGCGGAGAGUUUACGUCGAAUGAGUUCAACGACUACUGCGAGAAGAUUGGCAUAAAGAGGUUCCUCACGGCACCUUACACGCCGCAGCAUAAUGGGGUCGUUGAAAGGCGCAAUCGAACCGUCGUUGACAUGGCAAGGAGUUUACUCAAGAGCAAGAACCUGCUGGGGACUUUUUGGGGAGAAGCUGUCCAACGGCGGUCUAUCUUCUCAACCGGGCUCCAACGAAGGCGGUGGUCGGCAAGACUCCGUAUGAAGCAAUUUACGGACGUAACCCGAAUGUGUCUCAUCUACGGACGUUCGGGUGUGUGGCACAUGUGAAGACGGCGGAGCCGCAUCUCUCAAAGCUUACCGAUCGUAGCACCAAGAUGGUGUUCAUCGGAUACGAGAGAAGUUCCGGCACCAAGGCAUACCGCUUCUAUGAUCCACAAGCCAAGCGUCUACGGAUUUCACGCGACGUCGUGUUUGAAGAAAACCAAGCGUGGAAUUGCAGCGCCGUAGCCGACGAUGCUCCAAACAGUAACAUAUUUGCAGUUGAAUUUCCAACUAACGAUGAUGCAGGAGAAGAUGUCCAGGUGGUUGGCAAGACGCCGAACCAAGGUGGCCACAAUGGUAGUGAUCAUCAUGGUGCCGACACCGACGACGACGCGCAUAGGUCGCAAGGAGAUAGCGACAACGCCGCGCACGACACAGGCGGAGAUCUCGAUGACAACAUCGACAACGAGGCGCAUAGUGACGACGACAAUCAAGAUGAUGGUCACAGUCACGACGACUACGUCGACGACACUGAUGUCGAUAAUACACCAGUGUCUUAGCCGUCUUCCUCAAGUGCAUAACCACCGACACAAUUUGUGUCGCCUCCUUCGCAAGCCACAACGGACUCCUCAGGGCCUCGUCGCUACAAGACCCUCAAGAAAGUCUACAAGUACACAAAGCCAGUUACGCUCAAGUACUCCGGACUAUGUCCGUUCGGAGUUGAGGAGCCGGCGAACUUCGUAGAGGCGAGAAAAAGCCGUAUUUGGACGCACACCAUGGAUGAGGAGAUGAAGGCGAUUGAGAGCAAUGGCACGUGGACUUUGGUAACCUGACCUCCAAACCAAAAGACGAUAGGUUUGAAGUGGGUUUACAAGUUAAAGAAGGACACGGAGGGUGCCAUUGUGAAGUAAAAGGCAAGACUCGUUGCAAAGGGCUACGUACAACGUCAAGGAGUAGACUAUGAUGAGGUGUUUGCACUAGUUGCUCGAAUCGAGACGGUGAGAGUGCUCCUAGCUUUUGCAGCACAAGAGGAUUGGAAGGUUCAUCAUAUGGAUGUUAAAUCCGCUUUCCUCAACGGCGAUCUCACAAAAGAAGUGUACGUGGAACAACCCCUCGGCUACGAGAAGAAAGGCGAAGAAGGGAAAGUUUACAAGCUCAAGAAGGCACUUUACGAGUUGAAGCAAGCACCAAGAGUUUGGAACUCAAAGUUAGACCGGAGUUUGGUCUCGCUCGGGUUCAAGAGAUGUCCCCUCGAGCACGCAGUCUAUACAAAGAACUCCAAAGGCUCAAACCUGCUAGUUGGAGUUUAUGUCGAUGAUCUGAUUAUCACCGGAGAUAGCGUACGAGAAAUUGAACGUUUCAAGGUGCAAAUGAAGAACAAGUUUAGCAUGACCGAUCUGGGAUUACUCAGCUAUUACUUGGGCAUCGAAGUGAAGCAAAGCUCCGGAAAGAUUUCCCUAUGUCAAUCGGCUUAUGCGGUCAAGUUAUUGGAAAAGUGUGGCAUGUCAGAUUGCUGCGAGACACAAGUUCCAAUGGACCAACGUCACAAGUUGAGCAAGCGUAGCUCAAAUCCGCCGGUGGACACCACAAUGUAUCGAAGCGUUGUGGGCAGCCUAAGAUAUUUGGUGCAUACCUGACCUGACAUGGCUUAUUCAGUCGGGAUCGUGAGUCAUUUCAUGGAGAAUCCGACAACCGAGCACAUGAGUGCGGUCAAUCAUAUCUUGCGCUAUGUGAAAGGCACCAUUAAUCUUGGUUGCACGUACAGAAAGGGAAAGGAAGCAUUGAUCCUUCGUGGAUAUUCAGAUAGCGACAUGGCAGGUGAUGUUAAUGACUGAAAGAGCACAACGGGCAUGGUUUUCUACCUUGGCCCGAAUCCGAUUAGCUGGAAUUCUCAGAAGCAAAAGGUGGUGGCACUGUCUUCAUGCGAGGCAGAAUACAUAGCGGCAAGCACGGCGGCUUGUCAAGCAGUGUGGCUGAGAAGACUCCUAGCUAUUCUUGCAAAGCGGGAGGUGCAGAAGGUGUCACUGAAGAUCGAUAACCAAGCUGCAAUCUCGUUGUGCAAAAAAUCCGGUUCAACACGAAAGGAGCAAGCACAUAGAUACCCGGUUCCACAAUAUCCGGGAGUGCAUUGAAGAAGGGUUGAUCGAGGUUCAACAUGUGAACACGAAAGACCAACUUGCCGAUAUUUUCACCAAGUCCCUCGGUCGACAGAACUUCAUCGAGAUGAGGAGGAAAGUCGGAGUGCAAGAAGUGAAGUCAAGCAACAAGAUUAAGGAGGUGAAUGUAGAAGUUAAUCAUGUUGUUUCUUUAGGAUUAGGAAAGAAAGCCAAACCGAGUCCUAGUAGUAUUAAGAUUCCUAGUCCUAGUCUAUUUCACUAGUCCCUUGUGGACGUGUAUAAAAGACACCCUAGGGGUGUUGAUUGUAACACCAGAAAAACGAAAAGCAAUACAAAGCAAAGGCUCGACACGGGCCUUUAGCCAUCAAAUCCAUCGAUCAAUUUUAUUCGUGUCACUAGUUACGCAAGUUCCGUCAAGUAGCCGGCCGAAGCAAGAAUCACGUAGGCACGCCUGUACAGCUGCAUAUGCACGCUCAAAAGCCAACAUUGCUGUCGCCCGGUGCGCGCCCGCGUUUGUCUCUGCUGCUGUGUUGUUGUUGUGCCUAGGCCACCCUGCUGUGUCGCCGCGCAUGCGUGCGCGUCAUCCUUGCUCUGUUGCUCUUUCUGAGCUAUUGUCCACUGUAGCUACAUCUUGUCGCUGUUGCAGGCCCGCCGCUACCCCCUGCUAUGUUGCAUGCCCUUGGCCACUCUGGCCUCGCUCGCCACUGCUGCUUUUAUGCCUACAUGUUUGCCGCUAUACACUGUUGUUAGCUACCGCUUUCCAGGCCACAACACUGCUGUUUUGCAAGUAGUUGCUGCUAGCGAUGGCCAUGGCAAAGGCCACGGGCGUACGUGCCUGUGAGUGUGGAGCGUGAGUGAGAGCGUGAGUGUGUGAGCCGUGUGUAGCUUAGUGGGUUAGUAGUAAUUAAUAAUUAGUUUAACUAGUUAGUUUAACUAAUAGCCUAUGUCAAGUGGAGCCUCGGCUAAGUUAAUUUAAUUAAGUAGCAUAGUUUAGUUGCUGCCUAUGAUAUGUGGGCCACACCCAUCCCAUUUGACUAGUAAGUUGACAUGGUCAAACUCGUUUUAAAUGAUUUUAGAAAAUCAAAUAAGCUUCGGAAAAUCAUAUCUAAAUCAUACAAACUUGAACAAAAAUAAUUUAUAUAUAAAAGAUGAUCAGAAAAAUAUAACGAAUCUGAAUAUGCCAUCUAUAUACCUGCCACACCUCUCUAACAUGAUGCACAUGAACAUUUUGCAUUAGGAUCGUCUAUCCGAAAAUUACCUGGAGCCGGGAAUAUAUUGCGGGAUAUUUUGCCUCUUAUUUUAAAAUGCUUAAGGAUGCAUUAGAGCAUGUCACCUACACAUCUUGUUGUGCCAUUGCAUUUGUGUUGCAUUUAAUUGCUGUGUUAUUUAUUGUGUUUCCCCUCCAUUACUUUCUUUCCGGUAGACCCCGAGACCGAUGAUGAUCCGGUGAUCGAAUACUUCCUGGUCGAGGAUCCGUAUCUGUGUGCACAGCAGCAAGGCAAGCAAACCCCCCUUGAUCAUUCCUAUAUCGCCUAUGUCUUUCUUCCUACUGCUUGCAUUAGUAUUUUUCUACUGUUGUAGUUAGCUCCUAUAUCUGAUGCAUAUAUAGCCUAUUUUUGAUGAACAACUACUUUCAGUCCUGUACCUUUAAUAUGCUUAGUAUAGGUGGAGCAGUCAUCCCAUCUGACCCCGUAGUCUAGUUGCCUCGCUUGUUUUCAAAUCUCGAUCCCUGAUCGACGAAACACCUCACACACACACCCCUUAGUUGUACGACGCUACGGGGAUACUAUCGGGUACCGAGGGUGACACCUCGUUAAGUACUCAUGAUGAUAUCUCUGUAGUAUAGCUAGUCGGUCGUGGUUAUUGAGGGUGAUUCCUCUUUCAUCAUUCCCGACGAUGCCUCUCUCGUACAACCCCUCAAGUGUCAGAUGUCAGCAAUGUAGCGGCGCGCGCCCAAGUGGUCCCGAGAUGCAUCGCGCUUGUGAUUAAGGGAUGCUAGGAAUGACGUCGGCCGCCCACGCCACGUGCAGGAGCGCGAAGGGGAACUGGGCCCACGAACCCUUUGUGCUUAGGAGUUAGACCUGCGGGCUGGCCUCUCUGAUUAAUCAUAGGUGGGGCUGCGACGUGUCGAUAUUCCGAGGCCAGGCAGGACCCAGAAAAGUGUGUCCGGCCAGAGUGUUAUCGAGCGUGACGGGACAUGUGGUGCACCCCUGUAGGGAUGAAAAUUAACUAUUCUAAUAGCCGUGUCAACGGUUACAGGACGACUUGGAGUUGUGCCCUGAUCUUAUACAACUACAAUUGUUACUUAACUGGAAUUAGUUCGCCUCGGGAUUGCUUCCUCGCAGGGAGUCGAGGGAGGAUCUUUGGGCGUGACCUCACUUUAAUAUUGCUGCAACAAUUUGACUAUUAAUGUUUUACACCUGUUCUAUUCUCGUCUUUUGCUGCAAGACCCUGAAGAUGCUAGUCUUCGAUAGGACUAGGCCUUCUCUCUAUUCUUGCAUUGCUGCAGCCAGUCCACAUAUAAAACCCCUUCUUUGAUACUGGUGCAUAUUUAGCAUAGUUCUGAUGUAAGUCUUGUGAGUACUUUGGAUGAUUACUCACCGCUGCUUUGCUCCCCCUUUGUCCCCUUGAUCCGUUGUUGCGACCAGAUGAUGGAGCCCAGGAGAUGGAGUUUCCUGCCGACGCCUGUCGCCCCGUUGGUGUCUUCUUCGUGGAGGUUGAUGAAGAUAGGUGUAGUUAGGAGGUUCCCAGGCAGGAGGCCUCGCCUCGUUCAAUCGUCUUUCUUUUGUGCUAGCCUUCUCUAAGGCACCCCCAUGCUUUAUGUCUGUACUCAGAUAUUGUUGCUUUCGCUGACUCGUGUGCUUAUCGAGCUUCUGUAUUCUAGCCCUCGAGGCCCUUGGCUUGUAAUAUGAAGCUUGUAUUAUUUUAUUUGUGUCUAGAGUUGUGUUGUGAUAUCUUCCCGUGAGUCCUUGGGUUUGAUCGUACGCAUUUGCGUGUAUGAUUAGCGUACGAUUAAACCGAGGGCGUCACAAUGCAAGAAAGGAAUAAUAUUAGCUCAAGCUUCAAGCUAGAAGACUCUUCAUUUUAUAUUUAUGAGAACUCAGUUUUGAGACCAUAGUAAAGCCAAUACUAUAAAAAG